rnacentral:rRNA from 1 species
UACGUAGGUGGCGAGCGUUGUCCGGAUUUACUGGGCGUAAAGAGCGCGCAGGCGGUCGUUCAAGUCGCGUGUGAAAGCCCCCGGCUCAGCUGGGGAGGGUCACGCGAUACUGAUCGAUUCGAAGGCAGGAGAGGGAAGUGGAAUUCCCGGUGUAGUGGUGAAAUGCGUAGAUAUCGAGGAGGAACCGAGCCGGUAGGGCAAGGCCCGGGGUCUCGC